GAGGCAGCGGAGGUGCUGCUAGCAGGGAGCGGCGGCAGCGGCGGCGACCGCCCCUCCAGUGGAGCAAUCCAGGCGGCGGAGGCGGCGUGCUCGGUGGAUUGACGAUGACGACGGCACCCUUCGCGAGAAGAUCACCCGGUGGAUUGACGACGACGACGAACGGACCUCGUCCUCAACAUGUGUGGUACAUUACAACAACUUGGUCUCAAAUUUUGCCCACAUCUGAGCAUCUCAAGCAGAGCAUGUCUGAAACGUAUCUUUCUUUCUGGACAGAGCGAUUGGCAACAUCGACACCAGUGGUACGACUACGAGUAUGCAUUUCAACAUGGCAAAUUUUGUGUGGAAGAUGGUAAUUUAGUGAGUUGAAAUUUCAAUUUGCCAUUAAAUUUAGAUAGUUCAUUUUCACAUGGCAAUUUUUUUCUUCGACCCUGCAUCUGCGACACCUCCAGUUCGUCUACGAUGUAUCAACUGCGGGAUACAAGUUCGCUAGUGUUUUUGUGUCCUUCCAUUGCACAUUGCUGCAACAUUUUUUGUAGGCUGCCAGUUUGUGGUUUGUUCUAGAGCACAUGGCAAGUUGCAGAUAAAAAUGUGACCCCCCCCCUCUAAAAAUGAUGGAAAAUUUGUUUUGCAGUGAUGGCAAGUUGAUAUGCACCCCCAUUGCAAAUUUGCCAUGUUUUUUGUUUGGGAAACAACAAUAAUUGACAUGGAAAAUUCAUAUAUUUGACAUCUUUUUGCAAGAAGAUCAUUUUGGUUUAGUCAUCUUAUCGCGGUAAAAAUGUCAUGGCCAUUUCAAUAUGUAGUUUUUGCUUUUGGCGGUACAGAUGUCAUGGCAAUUUUGUGUAGAAACAUGGCAUAUGCAGUCCAAUUUACAUUAUGUAAGUUGCCAUGGCAAUAUAGUCUUCUUAAGGGUGCGACAAAGUCAGGCAUGUUAGUUGUAUGUAGUUACAGUCUACUACAGAAGAUGGUUAACACCUUAAUGUUGUGACUCAAGUGUUCUCAGUGAUGUUUUGACUUUUGACUCAAGUGUUCUCAGUGAUGUGCAUGAGUUUCUUGAAACUUCCAAAAAGGGAAAAAAACCUAUGGUUAAGGAGGCUAGUUCCUCUUCCUGGAGAGUCGACCUGUCAAUCCUGACCAAAUUUCGAAUUGUACACACACACAAUGCAUUUCAACAAAGCAAAACACAACGAGAAAAUCGUAUAGAUUUAUGCAAGGUAACCUGACAUAAAAGUUAGAACUCUUCAAUGGUGACAAUCAUACUGAUGAACCAAUUGUAAAAAUCAAAUGCAAAGCUCGGUCUGCAUCUUUUGGCAAAUGAGCUCAGUAGAACAUGCUAUAAUGGUAUUGGCCAAAGCUUCCAUUCCAAGUGGUGCUUGUAUUCAGGGUCUAAUAUGACUCAUUCACUAGUCACUGCAACGCUCUAUCUGAAUAGCUUAAGGGUUGAUGUUUCCAAUCCUGUACAUGGCACUUUGGACACAUUCUGCAAUGAAUUUGGAGGCCUGAAAUUGAUGUUUAGGAAAGUGUUAGAAUUUAAGGACACCUGCGUGCUAAAUCUUAUCAGAGCUACAGAAAAAAGUAGAUGAACAGAUUAUAUUCUUUUUGUUCAUAUAGAAGUAUCUAUUGGCUUGAAAGACUCAUCCUUUAAUAGUAUAGAUAUGAGGAGCUCACUGAUGGCAAACUCAGCUGAAAUUUGGGUUGUUCAUAAAUUAUCAGAUACAUAGUUACUUAUCCAUGUAUUUCUAACAAGAGAUUCUUGCAACUGAAGUUUAAGUCAUUAUUUUUAUUGGUAUAUGAUAUUAGAUGCCUCAGGUUUUUACCAUAUUAAAAAGCAUAUGAAUUAGGAAGAAAUACGAAACCUUAGUAAUCUUGUUCUUCUUUACCAAGUCACUGUCCAAGCAUCUUCCUCCUGCAUAUGUUGGAAACUUCACGCUGUCUCUUGUUAUUUCCAGCUUAAACAGGUGCAUCUUUGACCAAGUAUAGGACGGGCAGAUGUCGUUAAAGGAAUACUCAUGGUUUUUGAAGACUGACUAUGCCUGAGUACUACACAGCAACAAACUCAGGUUAGUGUGCAUUAAGAUCUACAAUAGUUAUGUGGUUGUAAUGUACAAAUGAACAUACUUUACCUUGACAUGCUAUAAUUUGAUCCGGCGACUUCAUGUGCUAAGGACUUCCUUGUACACUAUGUUCU
rnacentral:lncRNA from 1 species